rnacentral:rRNA from 1 species
UACGUAGGGGGCAAGCGUUGUCCGGAAUCAUCGGGCGUAAAGCGCGUGUAGGCGGCCAGAUAAGUCCGCUGUGAAAUCUCGAGGCUCAACUUCGAGCUGUCGGUGGAAACUGUCUGGCUAGAGUCCGGAAGAGGAGAGUGGAAUUCCUGGUGUAGCGGUGAAAUGCGCAGAUAUCAGGAAGAACACCCGUGGCGAAGGCGGCUCUCUGGGACGGUACUGACGCUGAGACGCGAAAGCGUGGGGAGCGAACAGG